AUUGAACACUGGCGGCAUGCUUUACACAUGCAAGUCGAACGGCAGCGCGGGCUUCGGCCUGGCGGCGAGUGGCGAACGGGUGAGUAAUACAUCGGAACGUGCCCAGUAGUGGGGGAUAGCUCGGCGAAAGCCGGAUUAAUACCGCAUACGACCUGAGGGUGAAAGCGGGGGAUCUUCGGACCUCGCGCUAUUGGAGCGGCCGAUGGCAGAUUAGCUAGUUGGUGGGGUAAAGGCCUACCAAGGCGACGAUCUGUAGCUGGUCUGAGAGGACGACCAGCCACACUGGGACUGAGACACGGCCCAGACUCCUACGGGAGGCAGCAGUGGGGAAUUUUGGACAAUGGGCGAAAGCCUGAUCCAGCAAUGCCGCGUGUGUGAUGAAGGCCUUCGGGUUGUAAAGCACUUUUGGCGGGAACGAAAAGGACUGUGCCAAUACCACGGUUCGAUGACGGUACCCGCAGAAUAAGCACCGGCUAACUUCGUG
rnacentral:rRNA from 1 species